GUUGCUUCUUGUGCUUGUCCUCAAUCUGGCAACCCGCGUAAACGUCGAGUCUGCGGAGGAGGGGGCGGGGGCGGGAAACAAUGCUCUCCAAAAUUUUGAAUUUGGAAUGCAGCACCCAUUUCAACCGUUGGUUAUCAAUAGUACCGCGGCACCUUUGAGAUUUAGCAUUUAGCGUUAUAGCCUACUUACACUUCACCAUCUGUGGUUGAAACAUAAAAAUACGUUAUUUUACGUCAGUUGUGUUUCUGCGAUAGUUUGCGUAGUUUCCAUAGUUACCAGUAAUCGCCAUAUCAGCGCGGAUCUGUCACCAGACUGUGCGAAAAUUUUCCAAUAAAUCGUAUAAAACAAAAAAGACAUCAUCAGAGCAAGAAUCUGCUAGCGCUGUCUGUCCGGCUUACACACCUGCAGCGCCCCAGGGGAAGAGCGCGGCUCAGACCCCACACCCCUGACGCACUUAACUUCGAGGAAACGAGGAACAAUUAGACAUGAGGAACCUUUCAGAGAUCACAGAGUGUGGAGUUAUUACCCGGCCGUAACAAAACACUGUCGCUGCAGUUCCACCGCUCCAUCUAAACACCAGCCAAACCUGUCAUCUCCAGCACCUGGGACAUCAGGCACACCAGGAACGGUCUCUUUCCCAGAGUGCCGCGCAGCAGUGCCCGCCUAG
ensembl:lncRNA